rnacentral:rRNA from 1 species
UACAGAGACUGCAAGCGUUAUUCGGAUUCACUGGGCGUAAAGGGUGCGCAGGCGGCCAAGUGUGUUAGGCGUGAAAGCCCGGGGCUUAACCCCGGAAUUGCACCUAAAACUACAUGGCUAGAGCAUUGGAGAGGGUGAGCGGAAUUCACGGUGUAGCAGUGAAAUGCGUAGAUAUCGUGAGGAACGCCGGGUGGCGAAGGCGGUUCUCUGGGCCUGACCUGACGCUGGAGGAGCGAAAGCGUGGGGAGCGAACAGG